AGUGAACGCUGGCGGUAGGCCUAACACAUGCAAGUCGAACGGCAGCACAGUAAGAGCUUGCUCUUACGGGUGGCGAGUGGCGGACGGGUGAGGAAUACAUCGGAAUCUACUUUUUCGUGGGGGAUAACGUAGGGAAACUUACGCUAAUACCGCAUACGACCUACGGGUGAAAGCAGGGGAUCUUCGGACCUUGCGCGAUUGAAUGAGCCGAUGUCGGAUUAGCUAGUUGGCGGGGUAAAGGCCCACCAAGGCGACGAUCCGUAGCUGGUCUGAGAGGAUGAGCUGCCACACUGGAACUGAGACACGGUCCAGACUCCUACGGGAGGCAGCAGUGGGGAAUAUUGGACAAUGGGCGCAAGCCUGAUCCAGCCAUACCGCGUGGGUGAAGAAGGCCUUCGGGUUGUAAAGCCCUUUUGUUGGGAAAGAAAAGCAGCAGGUUAAUACCCCGCUGUUCUGACGGUACCAAAAGAAUAAGCACCGGCUAACUUCGUG
rnacentral:rRNA from 1 species